rnacentral:rRNA from 1 species
AGGUUACUGCUAUCGGUGUUCGCCUAAGCCAUGCGAGUCAUAUGUUCUUCGUGAACAUGGCGUACUGCUCAGUAACACGUGGAUAACCUGCCCUUGGGUCCGGCAUAACCCCGGGAAACUGGGGAUAAUUCCGGAUAACGCGUAUAUGCUGGAAUGCUUUCUGCGUAAAAUGGAUUCGUCUGCCCAAGGAUGGGUCUGCGGCCUAUCAGGUAGUAGUGGGUGUAAUGUACCUACUAGCCUACGACGGGUACGGGUUGUGAGAGCAAGAGCCCGGAGAUGGAUUCUGAGACAUGAAUCCAGGCCCUACGGGGCGCAGCAGGCGCGAAAACUUUACAAUGCGGGAAACCGUGAUACGGGGACACCGAGUGCCAGCAUCCUAUGCUGGCUGUCCGGGUGUGUAAAAUACACCUGUUAGCAAGGGCCGGGCAAGACCGGUGCCAGCCGCCGCGGUAACACCGGCGGCCCGAGUGGUGAUCGUGAUUAUUGGGUCUAAAGGGUCCGUAGCCGGUUUGGUCAGUCCUCCGGGAAAUCUGACAGCUCAACUGUUAGGCUUUCGGAGGAUACUGCCAGACUUGGAACCGGGAGAGGUAAGAGGUACUACAGGGGUAGGAGUGAAAUCUUGUAAUCCCUGUGGGACCACCUGUGGCGAAGGCGUCUUACCAGAACGGGUUCGACGGUGAGGGACGAAAGCUGGGGGCACGAACCGGAUUAGAUACCCGGGUAGUCCCAGCCGUAAACGAUGCUCGCUAGGUGUCAGGCAUGGCGCGACCGUGUCUGGUGCCGCAGGGAAGCCGUGAAGCGAGCCACCUGGGAAGUACGGCCGCAAGGCUGAAACUUAA